AGUGUGCUGGUCGGCUGGCCUUUAGAAGAGUUUAUAUAUGUCUUGAGGUGCUGUCUUAGAGUUUCAAGAAGCUGCCCACGUGAGUCUUGAGUGGCUGCCCAUGCUGCCCAAGUGCUUCCAUGCCGUCCAUGCACACAUGUGAAGAGGUUGGACGUGUGGCUUGUCUUCAAUUGAAAGGAGUGGGUCUUUUGGUCUUUGCUUGCUGCCC
rnacentral:lncRNA from 1 species